GGUUCGUUAGUUCAGUCGGCAGAGCGAGGUGCUGAUAACGCCAAGGUCGUGAGUUCGACCCCCACAUGGACCA
rnacentral:tRNA from 1 species